UGCGUAGGCGGCUUUUUAAGUUGGAUGUGAAAUCCCUGAGCUUAACUUAGGAAUUGCAUUCGAUACUGGGAAGCUAGAGUAUGGGAGAGGAUGGUAGAAUUCCAGGUGUAGCGGUGAAAUGCGUAGAGAUCUGGAGGAAUACCGAUGGCGAAGGCAGCCAUCUGGCCUAAUACUGACGCUGAGGUACGAAAGCAUGGGGAGCAAACA
rnacentral:rRNA from 1 species